rnacentral:rRNA from 1 species
AGUGAACGCUGGCGGUAGGCCUAACACAUGCAAGUCGAACGGCAGCACAGUAAGAGCUUGCUCUUACGGGUGGCGAGUGGCGGACGGGUGAGGAAUACAUCGGAAUCUACUUUUUCGUGGGGGAUAACGUAGGGAAACUUACGCUAAAACCGCAUACGACCUACGGGUGAAAGCAGGGGAUCUUCGGACCUUGCGCGAUUGAAUGAGCCGAUGUCGGAUUAGCUAGUUGGCGGGGUAAAGGCCCACCAAGGCGACGAUCCGUAGCUGGUCUGAGAGGAUGAUCAGCCACACUGGAACUGAGACACGGUCCGGACUCCUACGGGAGGCAGCAGUGGGGAAUAUUGGACAAGGGGCGCAAGCCUGAUCCAGCCAUACCGCGUGGGUGAAGAAGGCCUUCGGGUUGUAAAGCCCUUUUGUUGGGAAAGAAAAGCAGCAGGUUAAUACCCCGCUGUUCUGACGGUACCCAAAGAAUAAGCACCGGCUAACUUCGUG